rnacentral:lncRNA from 1 species
CUUAUUCCAUGUGCCUUUCACCCUCAAAACCCUAAUUCCCACUCUUUAUAAGGGCCCUUGGCUGGCCACUAGGGAAAGAAUCAAGCCUUUUACACGCCACAAAACAGCCCCUUCUUCUAGCCGUCCAACUUUCUCUCUUUUCCCUCUCCACACCAACUACUCUUUCUCCAAUUCUUAGCCAGCCAAAACCCUACCAUUUUCUCCUCAAAACCCUACCGUCUCAAGCCUAUUCCAGUCCCCUCUAACCCACAAAAAUCCCACAUCCAAAGCCCUCCAAAACAGCCACCUAAAGCUUCUCUCUUUCCAACCCUUGCAUCCUCCACUAAAAAUUCCAGCAACCUGUCCCUUCCUUUUUCCUCUUUCAAAACUCACUUUCUUCAGCCUAUUCUCUACCAAAUCUUCUCCUUCUACUGCUGAAGAUCUUCUCCAAGUUUGUGGUAAAGCAUCUCCAGAGUUCAGGAUACAAAUUGCAGUGAAGAAUUUUCCUAUGGUUGCUAGAUGUCCCGUUCUCAGGAACCACUGUAAUCUUGUUUUGACAGUUUGAUCUUAUUGAUAUAUCUUUUAUAUUUCUUUCUUUCAUUAUGUAAUAAAGAUCUGAG